rnacentral:rRNA from 1 species
UUAAAUUGAAGAGUUUGAUCAUGGCUCAGAUUGAACGCUGGCGGCAGGCCUAACACAUGCAAGUCGAACGGUAACAGGAAGCAGCUUGCUGCUUUGCUGACGAGUGGCGGACGGGUGAGUAAUGUCUGGGAAACUGCCYGAUGGAGGGGGAUAACUACUGGAAACGGUAGCUAAUACCGCAUAACGUCGCAAGACCAAAGAGGGGGACCUUCGGGCCUCUUGCCAUCGGAUGUGCCCAGAUGGGAUUAGCUAGUAGGUGGGGUAACGGCUCACCUAGGCGACGAUCCCUAGCUGGUCUGAGAGGAUGACCAGCCACACUGGAACUGAGACACGGUCCAGACUCCUACGGGAGGCAGCAGUGGGGAAUAUUGCACAAUGGGCGCAAGCCU